rnacentral:tRNA from 1 species
AGCAGCGUGGCUCAGUGGAAAGAGCCUGGGCUUUGGAGUCAGAGGUCAUGGGUUCGAAUCCUGGCUCAGCCA